rnacentral:rRNA from 1 species
UACGUAGGGGGCAAGGCGUUGUCCGGAAUCAUUGGGCGUAAAGAGCGUGUAGGCGGCCCGAUAAGUCCGCUGUGAAAGUCCAGGGCUCAACCCUGGAAUGCCAGUGGAAACUGUCGGGCUGGAGUCCGGAAGAGGCGAGUGGAAUUCCUGGUGUAGCGGUGAAAUGCGCAGAUAUCAGGAAGAACACCCGUGGCGAAGGCGGCUCUCUGGUACGUGACUGACGCUGAGACGCGAAAGCGUGGGGAGCGAACAGG